UAUAUAUCUAAAAGUUAGAAGGUCAUCACAUGCAAACAGGAGUUAGAAGGGGACAUAGACAAGAUCUGUUAUGAUAAAAUUCCAAUGUUUGAUAACAAUUCUUCCUUCUACUUUUUGUCUUCCUAGCUAGCUAUCCCUUGAAUUCUAUAGUUUGUGGUGAGGAAAACACUAUAUAUAAGAGACCAAACCAAGCUUGCUUUAACCCAUUUUUCACUAACUCAAACACUAUGGAAGCAACUCAUCCUCUUUCAAUUGAAAGUUUUUCAUAUAGUUGGUUAUUGAACUUCAAACCAUCAUUAGAUCAAAGCCUUGAAAAAACUUCUUCCUUUAGAAUUUGUAUUGAUGCUUCUGAUGAGUUAGGUUCUUCUUUCAUUGAAAUGGAUCCAAGAAUGCCAUCUUCCAGAAGAUUCUUUAUAACCUCACAAGAUUUCAAAUUUGACUUUCCAAUUUCACAACAAUCUUCUCUCAAUACUCUUGUUCAUGCUGAUCAACUCUUUUCCAAUGGUUACUUAACUCCACUUUCUGAUGAUUCAUCAAAUUCAAAUUCAAACUUAACUUCUUCCAUAUCAUAUGUACCCAAAAAAGUGGUUCCAAUAGAAAAUUCAAGAAGCCCUUCAUUGAAAAGGUGUAGAACACUAUCAAGGAGAAUGUUUCAAAAGUACUUGAAUUUUUUGAAACCUUUCUGUAGAAAAUUAAGGGGUCAAAAACCAGGAUCGUCAAAGCAUGAAAAUAGUGUUAACAGAAUUCAAUCAGUGAAGAAUUAUAGAGGAAAUUUCUGUGAAUCAUCUCCAAGAAUUAGUGUUGCUUGUUCCACAGACUAUUCGCGCAUGUCAUGUGAUUCUGAUAGUUCAAUCUAUGAAGCUGUUCUUCAUUGCAAAAGAUCUAUUGAAAGAAUGAGUUAAUUAGGAUGCUGAAGUGCAAACCAGUGUUUAUAGAAAAUAAGUUGCCAUCAAAUUUGGGAAAAGAAAAAUUAUAGAACACAAUUUUUGGUUCGAAGAUGAGGUGCAGAUGGUAGGAUUCCAGACCGCAGUUUAGGUCGGGCGCAUCUUCAUCUGCAGCAAAGUCGGCUGGAUAUCCAGGAGGGUCGUACGAUACGUCUCUUUUAGUGAAGUACGAGCAUCAUGUUGCUCGCCAUUUAUGGUUUGAUGAGGAAAGAGGUCCGAAGAAAGAGUUAAAGGUUGCUGGACACGGACUAAAGCUGACGUCGAGGGUUCCACUAGCUCUUUCACAACAGGUGGAGAGUUGGGUAUCUAGAUAUGGUUUAUCUUCACUUUAGAGAACUAGUCUGAACAAGAUAGACACAAAUUUGGUAUCUGCAUUUGUGGAAAGAUGGUAUCUAGAGACAUCUUCAUUUCACAUAUUGUUUGGUGAAAUGAGCAUUACUUUGGAUGACGUCUCAUGUCUGCUUCACUUGCCCAACAGGGGUGUCUUCUGGAGUCCUCAGGAUGUCACGGAAGAGGUUGUUGUUGAACUUGCUGUUGACUACUUAGGAGUGUCACAGGGUGAGGCACAAUCACAUGUUCGUAGCUGCAGGGGUUCGUAUUAUAAAUUGGAGUGGUUAUACGAUUUAUUCGUACAACAUAGAGUUGCUUCUAGCUGGGCAUAUGCGACCAGAGCAUAUUUGUUGAUGUUGGUGGGUUCCACCAUUUUUGCUGACAAGACCUUUACACUUGUCAAGGCACGAUACCUCCUACUGUUUACGGACUUAGAUAGAUGUUCGAGAUAUAGUUGGGGAGCAGCUGCACUGGUUACCCUAUACAGAUACCUUGGAGAUGCGUCCAUGUUCAGUUGCAAAUAGCUCGGUGGAUAUCCUACUCUCCUACAGAGUGCUGGAUUCACGAGUACUUUCCAACUGUUGGAAAAAGAGGAGAGAAUUGGAAACCAGCUGAUAAUUGUGAUCUUCCUCGAGCGAUGAGAUGGUCCUAUAGGCAAGGAGUCCUGAAGGUUGAUGAUUUACGACCUAUUUUGGACGAGCUGACACCUGCCGACGUCAUAUGGCGUCCAUUUGAGGAUCAUAAAGCAUGGCGUCAGUUUGAUGAGUUAUGUCUUUAUAGGGGUGUUUAAAGUGGGGUGACACAAUUGUUCCAUACUUCCCUGACAGAUGUUUACGUCAGUUCGGGUACAAGCAGUAUGUUCCAUCCUCACCUCUUGAUUGUAUGAUGGCGACUGAUAUUGAUGUUGAUUGGAUUGGUUACCAUCAGAGUGUUAUUGCUGUGAUCCGUCCAACUACCCUGACCACCACUCCAUCUGAUAUAGAAGAUGGUUAUCUGGAGUGGUAUUAUUAUGUUUCGCAACCAUGUUUGGUCUCUCCCCAUCGUGACGAUCCAAGAGAGGUACCAGUUCAUGUUUAUGACGCAGGACCAUCUGAUCCUAAUUGGGCUCGUUUAUCUACAUUGAUUCAUCGUUAUCUGAGACAAGUUAACGCCGAAGAGGAAGAUCCACAGUUUUCUCAUUUAU